rnacentral:rRNA from 1 species
UCCUCCCUCUUUCCUCGUGCUUAACACAUGCAAGUCGAACGAAGAGCGAUGGAAGCUUGCUUCUAUCAAUCUUAGUGGCGAACGGGUGAGUAACGCGUAAUCAACCUGCCCUUCAGAGGGGGACAACAGUUGGAAACGACUGCUAAUACCGCAUACGAUCUAAUCUCGGCAUCGAGGAUAGAUGAAAGGUGGCCUCUACAUGUAAGCUAUCACUGAAGGCGGGGAUUGCGUCUGAUUAGCUAGUUGGAGGGGUAACGGCCCACCAAGGCGAUGAUCAGUAGCCGGUCUGAGAGGAUGAACGGCCACAUUGGGACUGAGACACGGCCCAGACUCCUACGGGAGGCAGCAGUGGGGAAUCUUCCGCAAUGGACGAAAGUCUGACGGAGCAACGCCGCGUGAGUGAUGACGGCCUUCGGGUUGUAAAGCUCUGUUAAUCGGGACGAAAGGCCUUCUUGCGAAUAGUGAGAAGGAUUGACGGUACCGGAAUAGAAAGCCACGGCUAACUACGUG